AGCAGAGUGGCGCAGAGGAAGCGUGUUGGGCGCAAGACCUAGAGGUCCGAAGAUCGAAUCCACGCUCCGCUA